rnacentral:rRNA from 1 species
GUAACACGUAUGCAACCUACCCUUUACUGGGGCAUAGCUCAGAGAAAUCUGAAUUAAUUCCCCAUAAUACAAUUGAAUGGCAUCAUUUGAUUAUUAAAGUUGAGGCGGUAAAGGAUGGGCAUGCGUUGCAUUAGCUAGUUGGUGAGGUAAUGGCUCACCAAGGCUACGAUGCAUAGGGGUUCUGAGAGGAUGAUCCCCCACACUGGUACUGAGACACGGACCAGACUCCUACGGGAGGCAGCAGUAGGGAAUAUUGGUCAAUGGACGCAAGUCUGAACCAGCCAUGCCGCGUGCAGGAAGACGGCCCUCUGGGUUGUAAACUGCUUUUAUAUGGGAAGAAACCUCAUUAUGCGUAAUGAACUGACGGUACCAUAUGAAUAAGGAUCGGCUAACUUCGUGCCAGCAGCCGCGGUAAGACGAAGGAUCCAAGCGUUGUCCGGAUUUACUGGGUUUAAAGGGUGCGUAGGCGGAAUUUUAAGUCAGUGGUGAAAGCCCUUCGCUCAACGAAGGAACUGCCAUUGAAACUGAAAUUCUUGAAUACGGUUGAGGUAGAUGGAAUAUAACAUGUAGCGGUGAAAUGCUUAGAUAUGUUAUAGAACACCGAUUGCGAAGGCAGUCUACUAAGCCGUGAUUGACGCUGAGGCA